AGUGAACGCUGGCGGCGUGCUUAACACAUGCAAGUCGAACGAGAACGGAUCAUAGCUUGCUAUAAUUGUCAGCUAAGUGGCGCACGGGUGAGUAAUGUAUAGGUAAUAUGCCUCUUACUAAGGGAUAACAAAUGGAAACGUUUGCUAAUACCUUAUACUCCUUAUUAACAGAAGUUAAUAAGGGAAAGAUUUAUUGGUAAGAGAUUAGCCUGUAUUGUAUCAGUUAGUUGGUGGGGUAAUGGCUUACCAAGACUAUGACACAUAACUGUUUUGAGAGGAGGAUCAGUCAAACUGGAACUGAGACACGGUCCAGACUCCUACGGGAGGCAGCAGUGGGGAAUAUUGCACAAUGGACGAAAGUCUGAUGCAGCAACGCCGCGUGGAGGAUGACUCAUUUCGGUGCGUAAACUCCUUUUAUAUGAGAAGAUAAUGACGGUAUUAUAUGAAUAAGCACCGGCUAACUCCGUGCCAGCAGCCGCCGUAA
rnacentral:rRNA from 1 species